UACGGAGGGUGCAAGCGUUGCUCGGAAUUAUUGGGCGUAAAGGGCAGGUAGGUGGUCUCGUUUGUCUGGGGUGAAAGCCCAGGGCUUAACCCUGGAAGUGCCCCAGAAACGGCGAGACUCGAGUACUGGAGAGGCAAGUGGAAUUCCCGGUGUAGCGGUGAAAUGCGUAGAGAUCGGGAGGAACACCUAUUGCGAAGGCAGCUCGCUGGGACGUAACUGACGCUGAGACGCGAAAGCGUGGGGAGCAAACAGG
rnacentral:rRNA from 1 species